UACGUAGGUGGCAAGCGUUGUCCGGAUUUAUUGGGUUUAAAGGGUGCGUAGGCGGUUCUAUAAGUCAGUGGUGAAAUACGGCAGCUCAACUGUCGAGGUGCCAUUGAUACUGCAGAACUUGAGUACAGACGAGGUAGGCGGAAUUGACGGUGUAGCGGUGAAAUGCUUAGAUAUCGUCAAGAACACCGAUAGCGAAGGCAGCUUACUAGACUGUAACUGACGCUGAGGCACGAAAGUGUGGGGAUCAAACAGGG
rnacentral:rRNA from 1 species